CAAUAGCGUAUAUUAAAGUUGUUGCGGUUAAAAAGCUCGUAGUUGGAUUUCUGUUGGGAACGACCGGUCCGCCCACUGGGUGUGUAUCUGGCUUGUUCUCGGCAUCUUCUUGGUGAACGUUGCUGCACUUGACUGUGUGGAGCGCUACCCAGGACUUUUACUUUGAGGAAAUUAGAGUGUUUCAAGCAGGCAUAUGCCUUGAAUACAUUAGCAUGGAAUAAUAAGAUAGGACCUCGGUUCUAUUUUGUUGGUUUCUAGAGCUGAGGUAAUGAUUAAUAGGGAUAGUUGGGGGCAUUCGUAUUUAACUGUCAGAGGUGAAAUUCUUGGAUUUGUUAAAGGCGGACUACUGCGAAAGCAUUUGCCAAGGAUGUUUUCAUUGA
rnacentral:rRNA from 1 species